rnacentral:rRNA from 1 species
UUUAGUCAGGCAACGAGCGAGACCCGUGCCCACUGUUACCAGCAUGUCCUCCGGGACGAUGGGUACUCUGUGGGGACCGCCGGUGUUAAAUCGGAGGAAGGUGCGGGCCACGGUAGGUCAGUAUGCCCCGAAUUUCCCGGGCUACACGCGGGCUACAAUGAAUGGGACAAUGGGUCCCUACCCUGAAAAGGGCUGGUAAUCUCACAAACCCAUCCGUAGUUCGGAUCGAGGGCUGUAACUCGCCCUCGUGAAGCUGGAAUCCGUAGUAAUCGCGUUUCAAUAUAGCGCGGUGAAUACGUCCCUGCUCCUUGCACA